GAUGAACGCUAGCGGCAGGCCUAACACAUGCAAGUCGAGGGGUAGCAGGAUUAGCUUGCUUAAUUGCUGACGACCGGCGCACGGGUUCGUAACGCGUAUGCAACCUACCUUAUACUGGGGUAUAGCUCGGAGAAAUUCGGAUUAAUCCACCAUAGUACUAAUGAAUCGCAUGGUUUAUUAGUUACAGCAUCGCGGUACAAGAUGGGCAUGCGUCCUAUUAGCUUGAUGGUGAGGUAACGGCUCACCAUGGCUACGAUAGGUAGGGGGCCUGAGAGGGUGGUCCCCCACACUGGUACUGAGACACGGACCAGACUCCUACGGGAGGCAGCAGUGAGGAAUAUUGGUCAAUGGGCGCAAGCCUGAACCAGCCAUGCCGCGUGCAGGAAGAAUGCCCUAUGGGUUGUAAACUGCUUUUAUUUGGGAAUAAACCUCUUUACGUGUAGAGAGCUGAAGGUACCAAAUGAAUAAGCACCGGCUAACUCCGUGCCAGCCGCCGCCGAA
rnacentral:rRNA from 1 species